UACGGGGGAGGCAAGCGUUGUUCGGAAUUACUGGGCGUAAAGGGUCUGUAGGUGGCCAACUAAGUCAGACGUGAAAUCCCUCAGCUUAACUGGGGAACUGCGUCUGAUACUGGAUGGCUCGAGUGUGGGAGAGGAAUGCGGAAUUCCAGGUGUAGCGGUGAAAUGCGUAGAUAUGGAGGAACACCGGUGGCGAAGGCGGCAUUCUGGACCACAACUGACACUGAGAGACGAAAGCCAGGGGAGCAAACGGG
rnacentral:rRNA from 1 species